CGUAGGUGGCAAGCGUUGUCCGGAUUUAUUGGGUUUAAAGGGUGCGUAGGCGGCUUUGUAAGUCAGUGGUGAAAUAUGGCAGCUUAACUGUCAAGGUGCCAUUGAUACUGCGGAGCUUGAGUACAGAUGAGGUAGGCGGAAUUGACGGUGUAGCGGUGAAAUGCUUAGAUAUCGUCAAGAACACCUAUAGCGAAGGCAGCUUACUAGGCUGUAACUGACGCUGAGGCACGAAAGUGUGGGGAUCAAACAGGAUUAGAUACCCUGGUAGUCCACACUGUAAACGUUGAUUACUCGCUGUGUGCGAUAUACAGUACGCGGCCAAGCGAAAGCGCUAAGUAAUCCACCUGGGGAGUACGCCGGCAACGGUG
rnacentral:rRNA from 1 species